rnacentral:rRNA from 1 species
CUAGGCCUACGGGACGCAGCAGUGAGGAAUAUUGGUCAAUGGUCGGGAGACUGAACCAGCCAAGCCGCGUGAGGGAUGAAGGUACAGAGUAUCGUAAACCUCUUUUGUCAGGGAACAAAGGCGGGGACGUGUCCCGGACUGCGUGUAUCCGAAGAAAAAGCAUCGGCUAACUCCGUGCCAGCAGCCGCGGUAAUACGGAGGAUGCGAGCGUUAUCCGGAUUUAUUGGGGUUAAAGGGUGCGUAGGCGGUCCGUUAAGUCAGCGGGAAAAUUGCGGGG